rnacentral:lncRNA from 1 species
GUUUUCUCCCUCUUCACUGCACAUACCAAUAGACAUCAAGAAGAGAGGGGGGAAGGAUCAAAACAGAGUGGAACUCAACUUGUUGGUGACAAAUCCUGUGAUGGACAUAGAGGCAUACACCAAGUAAAAGGAACACUGAUACCUGAGUCUACCUUAGAAGACAGAAAAGCCACCCAGGAGAAGGGGAUACCCGAACUAAGCCCUGAAAGUAAGAAAGAGCCAAUGUGAAUCUCUCAAAUUUCAAGCCUGAAGGCUCGUGGACAUCUGCCACCUCUGAC